GCAGCAGCCGCGGGAAUACGGAGGGUGCAAGCGUUAUCCGGAUUUAUUGGGUUUAAAGGGUCCGUAGGCGGAUCUGUAAGUCAGUGGUGAAAUCUCACAGCUUAACUGUGAAACUGCCAUUGAUACUGCAGGUCUUGAGUAAAUUUGAAGUGGCUGGAAUAAGUAGUGUAGCGGUGAAAUGCAUAGAUAUUACUUAGAACACCAAUUGCGAAGGCAGGUCACUAAGAUUUAACUGACGCUGAUGGACGAAAGCGUGGGGAGCGAACAGGAUUAGAUACCCCUGUAGUCCCUGUCUCUUAUAC
rnacentral:rRNA from 1 species